AGUGGCGGACGGGUGAGUAACGCGUGAGAAUCUGCCUUGGGGUCGGGGACAACCACUGGAAACGGUGGCUAAUACCGGAUAAGCCGAUUGGUGAAAGAUUUAUUGCCCGAAGAGGAGCUCGCGUCUGAUUAGCUAGUUGGUGAGGUAAGAGCUCACCAAGGCAGCGAUCAGUAGCUGGUCUGAGAGGACGAUCAGCCACACUGGGACUGAGACACGGCCCAGACUCCUACGGGAGGCAGCAGUGGGGAAUUUUCCGCAAUGGGCGAAAGCCUGACGGAGCAAGACCGCGUGAGGGAGGAAGGCUCUUGGGUUGUAAACCUCUUUUCUCAGGGAAGAAGCUCUGACGGUACCUGAGGAAUCAGCCUCGGCUAACUCCGUGCCAGCAGCCGCGGUAAUACGGAGGAGGCAAGCGUUAUCCGGAAUUAUUGGGCGUAAAGCGUCCGCAGGUUGCGAUUCAAGUCUGCUGUCAAAGCACGGGGCUUAACUCCGUAAAGGCAGUGGAAACUGAAUAGCUAGAGUGCCGUAGGGGUAGAGGGAAUUCCCGGUGUAGCGGUGAAAUGCGUAGAGAUCGGGAAGAACAUCGGUGGCGAAAGCGCUCUACUGGACGGCAACUGACACUCAGGGACGAAAGCUAGGGGAGCGAAUGGGAUUAGAUACCCC
rnacentral:rRNA from 1 species